GUUUGAUCCUGGCUCAGGAUGAACGCUAGCGGCAGGCUUAACACAUGCAAGUCGAGGGGUAUAGUUCUUCGGAACUAGAGACCGGCGCACGGGUGCGUAACGCGUAUGCAAUCUACCUUUCACAGAGGGAUAGCCCAGAGAAAUUUGGAUUAAUACCUCAUAGUAUAAUGAGUUGGCAUCAACACAUUAUUAAAGUUACAACGGUGAAAGAUGAGCAUGCGUCCCAUUAGCUAGAUGGUAAGGUAACGGCUUACCAUGGCUACGAUGGGUAGGGGUCCUGAGAGGGAGAUCCCCCACACUGGUACUGAGACGCGGACCAGACUCCUACGGGAGGCAGCAGUGAGGAAUAUUGGACAAUGGGCGCAAGCCUGAUCCAGCCAUGCCGCGUGCAGGAUGACGGUCCUAUGGAUUGUAAACUGCUUUUGUACGAGAAGAAACACUGCUACGUGUAGCAGCUUGACGGUAUCGUAAGAAUAAGGAUCGGCUAACUCCGUGCCAGCAGCCGCGGUAAUACGGAGGAUCCAAGCGUUAUCCGGAAUCAUUGGGUUUAAAGGGUCCGUAGGCGGUCUAGUAAGUCAGUGGUGAAAGCCCAUCGCUCAACGGUGGAACGGCCAUUGAUACUGCUAGACUUGAAUUAUUAGGAAGUAACUAGAAUAUGUAGUGUAGCGGUGAAAUGCUUAGAGAUUACAUGGAAUACCAAUUGCGAAGGCAGGUUACUACUAAUGGAUUGACGCUGAUGGACGAAAGCGUGGGUAGCGAACAGGAUUAGAUACCCUGGUAGUCCACGCCGUAAACGAUGGAUACUAGCUGUUGGGCGCAAGUUCAGUGGCUAAGCGAAAGUGAUAAGUAUCCCACCUGGGGAGUACGUUCGCAAGAAUGAAACUCAAAGGAAUUGACG
rnacentral:rRNA from 1 species